CAGCGUUCGCCUCUCAGCCAAGUCCAAUAGCACUCACUUAGGUGUGCAUCUGUGGCUUUCUCUCUGUCUGGUCAGUGCUCCUUUAUAUGUCCAUACCCCCUGCCAGAGGGCAGCAUUGACGGUGUACAGAGCCCAGUGUGACUCUCCUGCAGCUGGGGACAUAGAAGAGCUCUGUGACGAUGGCAGAUGUGGUUCUCCAGCCUCUUGCCUGGCUGCCAGUGGGAGUAGCCUGUCUGUUCUGGCACAGGGGGCUGUUCCAUAUGGAGGGUCAGAAACUGGCCUUCACAGCCACCCAGGCGUUCCUUCCACUUCUGCACGUCUUCCUUUCCCCAUGAAGAUUUGGGUGUACCCUGGUUGUGGUCUCUGAAGACUGGGCAGGCCUGUACUUUGUGAAGCUUUCAGCUGUCUCUGGUAGGCCUGAUGAAGCCUAUCUGCAGAGGUUGGCCUGAAGCCAUAAUGAGCAGUUCUGUUCUUUUUAGCCCUUGUCUAGUUUAUGGCUCUGUUGCAGACAUGCCUUUCUGUGUCUUGGUUAAAAGUACUGGUGUGUCUUUGCAUUUAGGUGUGGUCUGUGAGUCUGGGAAGGCUUCUAGAGGAGAGCCCUCCAGGGUUGCUCUUUGGGGUGGGAGUAGUGGGAGCGGAAAUGGAACGCUGACUGCCCUCUUAAAGCCAGAAGGGUACUUCAUUCAGGGCAGGCAGUUGGCAUGUGUAGGCACUCAGGAGUCUUCCUUCAGUUUCAGCGGCCGGUGUUCAUCAUCAGGAGUGGCAGGGUUGGAUAUGGGAGUGAGAAUGUGCCUCUGAGAUUGACCAGUGGCCAUAGACUCCAGCAAGAUGUGCAUCUUGGUCUGAGAGGCACCCACUGUACCAGAAACCAGACUUGUAUCGACCAAUGGCUUAUUAGCCCCAGGAGGCUUAUUACUGCCACAAAUGUCCCUGAUGGUGAGCAGCACUUGGCCACUACUGUCUGAUGUUAACCAGAGUUAUGGGGGUGGUUUCUGCAAAUACACAAUACUGUGGAGGGGUUAUGUGGCUUACCCAGAGGUGCCCAGAUAGCAAAUGAAGGUGUAAGAUUGGAAUCCCUGUCUUUCUGGUUGACCCUUGGCUUGGCUAAUCAUUCAUUCAUUCAUUCCACACACAUUGAUGAAUGCCGACUCUGUACUGGGUUCUGUUCUAGGAACUAGACAGACACAUCACCUAUGCUGCUCUUGUGGGGCUUCUGUUCCGCUGGGGGAGACAGUCAGUAGUAAGCCUUCAAGCAAAGGCAUGGCUGCUGGUGUGAUGAGUGCCAUGAAGACCCAUAAGGCUGCGUUAAAGGAGAUGGGUGGUCCAGGAAGGCCUCUCUGAGGAGGUGGCAUUUGAGCACUCAAGUGCCUUACACUGGACUUCUGACCCCAUGAGCUGGAACUUAGGAUAUCUGAUCUAGAAGUACCUCUAGAAGUCCUCUUCCCAAUAAACAAGCUAAGGCCCAGUGAGCUUAAGGUGUGAAUUCAUGGGAUGAUUCAUGGGAAAGAUGAAAUUAAACCCAAGAAGGACAAGUAUAAUAGCCGGCCACUGCUCUGCUCACACCAGCCUUGGGCUCCAGCCCUCUGCCUUUUCAUCCCAGAAUGUGUUUUAUUAUCUUCAAGACUCAGCCCUUUGAAAGAUUUAGACUUCCAAAUUGCAUUUAUUAACAAUAAUACAUUUAUUUUCUCAUGGCUGGGUGUGGGGAGGGGGUAGAAAUUUUAAACACAUUUGUGACGGUUGAUCAGCCCUCCAGGUAAGGCAACGGCUGACUGCCUGGAGCUGGUGUUUUUCCUGCCUAGGCGGAGACACCGCCCAAUUUUGUACCACCAGCUGCCGUCACUGUCAGAGUGGAAUUUCCAUUGGUGUUUCUGAAAUAGCAGUGUUUCCUGGAGGACCCCCAUUUGUACUUUCUGGAUUCCAUCUGGACCUGGUUUAGGGGGUUAGAUGCUUUUGAAUGGGGGCUGGAGAGACCCUACUGAUGCCUCUGACCAGAGAUGGUGAGGCAGGACUCACAGGGCCCCCAGGGUUUAUUUUAGGGAGAGAGAAGCCCACAGUUAAAUCAGAGGUCACAAAUACAGCAGCAGACCCCACCUCUCCCAAGGACCAGACUGAGCUAUAAUUGGCCAAUAAUUUCAUCUAAAAGCAGGAAUCCUACAUCAAUUUGAAAGGAGCUUCUGGCUGAAGUAAGACUUUAUUAAUUAGCCUGUUAGGAAAAUAGUUUCCCAGUAUUAUGAGGGCUGGAUAAUUUCAUGCCCACUGUUUUUCUUGAAGCUUCUCAAAGGCAGACACAGCCGCGUGCAGCGGCUCACGCCUACAAUCUCAGCACGUUGGGAGGUCGAGGCAGGUGGAUCACGAGGCCAGGAGAUCGAGACCAUCCUGGCCAACAUGGUGAAACCCCAUCUCUACAAAAAUACAAAAAUUAAUUGGGCGUGGUGGUGGGCGCCUGUAAUCCCAGCUACUCAGGAGGCUGAGGCAGGAGAAUCAGAGGUUGCAGUGAACCGAGAUUGUGCCACUACACUCCAGCCUGGCCACAGAGCGAGACUCAGAAAACAAGGGAAGACACUAGAUUUUCAUUUUUGUACUAAAUAGAAAAAGUAAUAUCUUUUUAAAAAUGUGUUUUGUUUGUUUUUAACUGUUUGUUCAUGCCAAUGUGCCAGGCACCAUAUUUAUUCUUUAAUCUAUACAGAAAUGCUGCUGGAUGAAUGGAAUUAUGCUCACUCUGCCAAUGAGGGAACCAAGGCUCAGAAAGGUUAAGUAACCAACCUAAGGUCAGGUAGUACUGAGGAGCUGUGCUUGGAUACAAAACCAGGUCAUCCAACCUGGAAUCUUAGCUUUGACCCCCAACCUUCUCCCGGCAACUUUGAUGAUAAUAUGGAAAUACCUUAGACUCUUGACUUGACUUUACUUUCUCUUCUCUGUUAUAAAAUCUGCUACAUUUCUUUUCCUGGGAAAGCGAAAUAGAUUAUGCCAAAAGUUCUGAUUUUUAAAAAUGUUUUAUUGUGGGCCGGGCGCAGUGGCUCAUGCCUGUAAUCCCAGGACUUUGGGAGGCCGAGGUGGGUGGAUCAUGAAGUCAGGAGAUCAAGACCAUCCUGGCCAACACAGUGAAACCCCAUGUCUACUAAAAAUACAAAAAUUAACUGGGCUUGGUGGUGCACGCCUGUAAUCCCAGCUACUCAGGAGGCUGAGGCAGGAGAAUCCCUUGAACCUGGGAGGCGGAGGUUGUAGUGAGCCGAGAUUGUGCCACUGCACUCCAGCCUGGCAACAGAGCAAGACUCCGUCUC